rnacentral:misc_RNA from 1 species
GUGAAUCAUCAAAUUUUUGAACGCAAAUUGCACUUUCUGGUAUUCCGGAAAGUAUGUCUGUUUGAGGGUCAGUUAAAUAAAAAUCGGUGUUGUUGCUGCUUUUCGUGGUGAUGUGUCGGAAUUGGGUCGUCUUACCUUCGUUUAAGUGACUUAAAAUUUUGUAUGAUUUUUGAACGUAUUUAAAUCGCUUACGUACAUUUGAGAUCUCGAUUGUUUAUUAGGUUCGGUCAUUCUAUUGCCUCGCCCCUAUCAUUUUUCAUUAAAUGAUCACAA